rnacentral:lncRNA from 1 species
CAGGGACCCAGCAUCCCACCCUGGGCAGGCCUGCUGAGCUGGGACUCUGCCCUAGGAUAAUGUAAUGGGAGCCCCAGGACACCUGCAGGGACCCGGGGCUCUCCUGCAUAGGGUUCCCUGGCUCAGGCCGCCUCCCACCCGUGGAGCUGUGCUGUGGGGCCAUAGCUACCCAGUGUUUGGGAGGGCUCAGACCCAAGAACAGAGCCGUGUCCCAUCCGCCACUGCCUGGCAGGGCCCCGAGGGAAAAUGAAUUGACUUUGUGCCUCAGAGUCUGAGUCUCCAAGUGACACAUGGCACCUGCCUCUUGGGAUUGCCAUGGGAUUGAUAAGGGAAUUGUGUAAAAUUAGCACCAACAAGAAUCCAC